rnacentral:tRNA from 1 species
AAGAAGGACGCCGAUUACAGGCAAUAUGGUUUCGGCCCAUAACUAGAAUUAGCUAUAUAUUCCCAUCUUU